UCGCGGUCAUGGAUGUGCACACGAAUGUCUAGCACGCACAGGACGGUCCCGGGACUUGAACCUAGAACCUUCUUCGAAUCGCACCCCCCGGCGGGGAAGGAGGAUGGUCCUGUUUGCAGAUAAAUUCCCAGACCUAGAAGAAUGCCUGGCACGUGCUAGUCCUCAGCAAGAAUGGAGUGACUUUCAGUUUGCAUUAUUGGCCCGAGUUAUCCACUCAUAUCCUCGCCGUGUGACCAGGCAGCUCCCCUGGACAGUACCACGUGGCUUGCUUUGCCCAAGAGCAUGCAGGGAAGGAGGAGAGCACUCACUCUCUCAACUAGCCGGCAGACGCACGCGGGAGUCAGCCAAGAUGAGCACAGCUGUCCCAGCUGAGCCCAGCCACCGCACAGCUGUGUGAAGGACAGGGCUGCGGUUUUGAAGACAGUAAGAACUGGGAUGGGUUGCUAGGCUGUGUUAUUGUGAAAACUGCUCCUUGCUACCACCUCAGUCUGCUGGUUACCUGGUUUCUUUCCAGGUCUGGCCCUCGAAGGCAUUAUGUACCCUCACUGUUGUUCCCAAGCCAGGGUUGGCAAACUGUCUGAAAGGCCCAGACAGUAAAUAUUCUAAGCUUUGUG